ACGAUGAUGGAGAGCUUGCUCUCCUGAUUAGUGGCGCACGGGUGAGUAUACCAUAGAUAAUGUACCUCUUAGUUCGGGAUAGCCACUGGAAACGGUGAUUAAUACCGGAUACUCCUUCUUGUCUCAAGGCAAGUCGGGAAAGUUUUUUCGCUAAGAGAUCAGUCUAUGUCCUAUCAGCUAGUUGGUGAGGUAAUGGCUCACCAAGGCUAUGACGGGUAUCUGGUUUGAGAGGAUGAUCAGACACACUGGAACUGAGACACGGUCCAGACUCCUACGGGAGGCAGCAGUGAGGAAUAUUGCACAAUGGAGGAAACUCUGAUGCAGCAACGCCGCGUGGAGGAUGACGCAUUUCGGUGUGUAAACUCCUUUUAAGAGGGAAGAUAAUGACGGUACCUCUUGAAUAAGCACCGGCUAACUCCGUGCCAGCAGCCGCGGUAAUACGGAGGGUGCAAGCGUUACUCGGAAUCACUGGGCGUAAAGGGUGCGUAGGCUGGCUUUUAAGUCAGAUGUGAAAUCCAAUGGCUUAACCAUUGAACUGCAUUUGAAACUGGGAGCCUAGAGUUCAGAAGGGGCAGAUGGAAUUAGUGGUGUAGGGGUAAAAUCCGUAGAUAUCACUAGGA
rnacentral:rRNA from 1 species